rnacentral:rRNA from 1 species
UACGUAGGGUGCGAGCGUUAAUCGGAAUUACUGGGCGUAAAGCGUGCGCAGGCGGUUUUGUAAGUCAGAUGUGAAAUCCCCGGGCUUAACCUGGGAACUGCAUUUGUGACUGGCGGGCUAGAGUAUGGCAGAGGGGGGUAGAAUUCCACGUGUAGCAGUGAAAUGCGUAGAGAUGUGGAGGAAUACCGAUGGCGAAGGCAGCCCCCUGGGCCCAAUGCU